GUUUCAUAUCCACCACUGCUGCUGAACCAAGAGCAGCAGUUAGUCCAGCUUAUGGCUGUGUGCUUUAUAAUGAAACGUACAUCUGCAGUGGUUCUCAGUAUCACAUGUACUGUAACACAAGAAUGCAUCAUUUCUACUACCAGACAGACCAAGACCAACACCAGUACCACUGCAUGAGUAAUGACUGUAUCUGUGUUGGUAUAAUGACACCUGUGCAUGCUACUAUAAUACUUCAUCCUGCUUCUGUGAGACCUUUAGCAAUAACCUCACUAUCCCUAGUCCAGUCUAUGACUGUCUGCUUUAUAACGACACAUACAUCUGCACUGGUACUCAGUACUACAUGUACUGCAACACAAGUGUACAUGAUUUCCAUUACUAUAGAUACCAUUACCACUGUUUUAAUAAUAACUGUAACUGUGUUGGUAAUAAGGACAUCUGUACGUGCUACUCUAAUACGUCAUCCUCCUGCUUCUGUACAAAUAACAGCAGUAGCAUCGCUUUCCCUGCAGCAGUAAGUCCAGUGUAUGACUGUGGGCUUUAUAAUGACAUGUACAUCUGCACUCGUGCUCAGUACCGCAUGUACUGUAACACAAGAUUGCAUAAUUUCUACUACUGGAGAGAUCAGUACCAAAACCAAUAUGAAUAUGAAUGCUGGAGUAAUAAUUGUUUUUGCACUGGUAAUAAGGACACCUGUACAUGCUACAGUAGCACUUUGUCCUCCUGCUUCUGCGAGACUUACAGCAAUAGCACUGCUCUCACUUCAGCAGUUAGUCCAGUCGCAGACCCUGACUGUGUGCUUUAUAAUGACAUGUACAUCUGCACUCGUGCUCAGUACCGCAUGUACUGUAACACAAGAUUGCAUAAUUUCUACUACUGGAGAGAUCAGUACCAAAACCAAUAUGAAUAUGAAUGCUGGAGUAAUAAUUGUUUUUGCACUGGUAAUAAGGACACCUGUACAUGCUCUACUAGCACUUUGUCCUCCUGCUUCUGUGAGACUUACGGCAAUAUCACUGCUCUCAGUACAGCAAUUACUCCCAGUCUAUGACUGUGUGCUUUAUGACACAUCAUACAUCUGCACUGGUGCUCAAUACCAAAUGUACUGCAACACAAGUUUACAUUAUUUCCAUUACGAUAGACAACAUUACCACUGUUUUUAUGAUAACUGUGACUGCAUUGGUAAUAAGGACACUUGUUCAUGCUCUAGUAGCACUUCAUCCUCCUGUUUCUGUACAAAUAACAGCAGUAGCAUCACUAUCCCUGCAGCAGUUAGUCCAGUUUAUGACUGUGGGCUUUAUAAUGACACAUACAUCUGCACUGGUGCUCAGUACCGCAUGUACUGCAACACAAGAAUGCAUCAUUUCUACUACUGGACAGAUCAGUACCAAAACCAAUAUGAAUAUGUAUGCUCGAGUUAUAACUGUUUCUGCAUUGGUAAUGAUGACACCUGUACAUGCUACAGUAGCACCUUGUCCUCCUGCUUCUGUGAGACUUACGGCAAUAUCACUGCUCUCAGUACAGCAAUUACUCCAGUCUAUGACUGUGUGCUUUAUGACACAUCAUACAUCUGCACUGGUGCUCAAUACCAAAUGUACUGCAACACAAGUUUACAUUAUUUCCAUUACGAUAGACAACAUUACCACUGUUUUUAUGAUAACUGUGACUGCAUUGGUAAUAAGGACACUUGUUCAUGCUCUAGUAGCACUUCAUCCUCCUGUUUCUGUACAAAUAACAGCAGUAGCAUCACUAUCCCUGCAGCAGUUAGUCCAGUUUAUGACUGUGGGCUUUAUAAUGACACAUACAUCUGCACUGGUGCUCAGUACCGCAUGUUCUGCAAUACAAGAAUGCAUUAUUUCUACUACUGGAAAUAUAGAAACCAAAUCCAAUAUGAAUAUGAAUGCUGGGGUAAUAACUGUUACUGCAUUGGCAAUAAGGACACCUGCACAUGCUACACUAGCACUUUGUCCUCCUGUUUCUGCGAGUAUAACAUCUCCAUCCCAACAAAAAUCAGUCCAACUACUGUAGGUCUGAUUAUCAAACUGCCGGAUCAAUGCAGAGUAAGCUGAAUAUUUCUAUUUACACCAUGCACUGAGUCUUUCAGUUUUAUUUAUAUAGCUCAAUUGUGAUUUCAGAAUCAGACCUCAGAAGGGUGUCUUCAAAAUCUUCUUGAGCAGACAGAGAACAUUACAGAUCAAGAGCUGCCUGUGACUGUAAGUCUUCAGGAGAAUAAUCAUAACAUAAUAUAAUUAAAUCAGUAUAAUAGAUGAUUAACAUAGUGCUGUUUUAAUGACUCUCUUGAUAUUUACAUGUACAGUAACUAUUUAUCUGAUCAAUAUAUUAGACUGUGAUGAGCAUUUUGACUGUGGCCUUCGACACUUCAGAGAAGAUUUUAGAGUCAUUAUCAUCAGCAAACCCAGCUGAACUAGCCUCCUAUGGAAACCGUCUGUUAAAAGCCAGCGAGAAACUCAUUUCUAUAUUAGUGAAGCCGACAGACACAAGUGACAGUGUCAGUUUCACUCUUGCUGCUGUAGGUAAGUGGAGACACAAUUAUUAUUAUUGAUGAUGAAACAGAUUAUAUGUGAUGUCAGUGGCUUUUUAUAGUCAGCUUUUCAAACCUGUUUUGGAGGACCCCCAGCCCUGCACACUUUGGAUGUCUCCUUCAUCUAACACACCUGAUUGUUCUCAUCAGCUCAUUAGCAGAGACUGCAAGACCUGUAUUGGGUGUGUCUGAUUAGAGUGAUAUACAAAAUGUGCAGGGCUGGGGGUCCUCCAGGACAGGUUUGAAAACCCCUGAGCAGUGGUGGAACAGACAGCAACAAAUGAUAAAUGCGGAUACAGUAACUCUAUAAUUGUGUAGAGUUACAAAUGUUUUAACAGAAAACACUGUCUGUAUAUUUUUAUGUUGAUGUCAAAGGUCAGUAUUUUGGUGCAAAUUCAUCUAUCAUUAGGUAGAAAUGUCUUGAAAAACCCUCAUCCUGAAAAGCCAU
rnacentral:lncRNA from 1 species